rnacentral:rRNA from 1 species
UACGGAGGGGGCGAGCGUUGUCCGAAGUUACUGGGCGUAAAGCGCGCGUAGGUGGGAGCACAAGUCCGCUGUGAAAGCCCGAGGCUCAACCUCGGAGGGUCGGUGGAUACUGUGCUUCUUGAAGGUGCUAGGGGAAGAUGGAAUUACCGGUGUAGCGGUGAAAUGCGUAGAUAUCGGUAGGAACACCAGUGGCGAAGGCGGUCUUCUGGGGCACUCUUGACGCUGAGGCGCGAAAGCUGGGGGAGCGAACGGG